rnacentral:rRNA from 1 species
UGAGCAAUCUGCCCUUCACAUCGGAAUAACCAUUGGAAACGAUGGCUAAUACCGAAUAUGACUUCGGAUCGCAUGAUCUGAAGUGGAAAGCUCCGGCGGUGAAGGAUGAGCUCGCGGCCUAUCAGCUUGUUGGUGAGGUAAUAGCUCACCAAGGCGAUGACGGGUAGCCGGCUGAGAGGGUGACCGGCCACACGUGGGACUGAGACACCGGCA